rnacentral:lncRNA from 1 species
GUUAGAUACAAAUUCAGAUACAACCUAGGAAGUUGUACUGAAGCAGCAACUGUGCAGGAGAGAGAGAGAGGCUAUGGCACACGUGGCGGAAUAUUUUCUUGGUUUUUACUAAGCCUCAAAUAACUGGAACUAAAAAAGAAAAGUGGCUAAGUAUCUAGAAACUGCUAGAUCACCUGAAGUUUAUCAAGUAGCUCUGCCCUCCCCCCUAAUACUGGGUUUAAAAAAAAACAAAACAAAAAACCUUCUAUAAGAUAUAUCUUCUUAAUGGUCUUUAAGAUUUUGGCAUGCUGAAUUCCAAAGUACGAUGCCCCAAAUAAUAAUGCUUCAGCAGCAACCUGUGAACAAGAACCAUCUCUCUGCUGGAAGUCUGUUUAUUUUGCUUGAAACAGAAGGAGGAAAGGCACUUUUGACUUGUGUUGCUUAACGGGUUAAACAAUGUGGCCUCAUUGAGAUGAAGCACAGAAAGGAAGAAUUUGACCAGAGAAUUUACAACUCAAGAAGAGCGAAAUUGAUUUCUUCCCUUUCAAAGCGGUUUCCUGAUUGCAAUCACAUAAAUUAAACCGGAGCCCCGAAGAAGUUGUGGGGACCGAGUAAUAAAUCUCCAAGAAGAGAUACGGGGAAUCCUUUGAACAUCUCGAGAAUAACGCAGUAAAAUGCAAACGGGAGGAGGACAGAGCGGGACAGAUGAAGAGGGUGGCGCUCCUCCCUCCGGGCAGAGAGGCAGCCUCCUAAUGCCGCUCAUGUGCUGUAGCAAGCAAGUUCAUAUAAGGACCACGUCACAUGUCUUUAAAAAAACGAAAAGAAGAAAACCAGGUGAUGUUCUGUUUGCACAUCUCCAGAUGGAGGUCGGGAGGGCUCGCCCUGGGUGGGGUCCCAGGACUCUCUGGCUCCAGCCCGGCCAUUCUCCAUGAGAGGAGAUGAGCUUAUUUCAUGGUUGGAAAGUAUAAAGGAGCAGAUGAAUCUCUGCAAGAUUAAAACUCGAUCUUCAGGAUGGUGGGUCCUCUCACCAAACUCCGUUGGCUCACACCACAUGGUUCUCUUUGUCCU